UUCCUACGGGAGGCAGCAGUGGGGAAUUUUGGACAAUGGGCGAAAGCCUGAUCCAGCAAUGCCGCGUGAGUGAAGAAGGCCUUCGGGUUGUAAAGCUCUUUUGUCAGGGAAGAAACGGUGAGAGCUAAUAUCUUUUGCUAAUGACGGUACCUGAAGAAUAAGCACCGGCUAACUACGUGCCAGCAGCCGCGGUAAUACGUAGGGUGCAAGCGUUAAUCGGAAUUACUGGGCGUAAAGCGUGCGCAGGCGGUUUUGUAAGUCUGAUGUGAAAUCCCCGGGCUCAACCUGGGAAUUGCAUUGGAGACUGCAAGGCUAGAAUCUGGCAGAGGGGGGUAGAAUUCCACGUGUAGCAGUGAAAUGCGUAGAUAUGUGGAGGAACACCGAUGGCGAAGGCAGCCCCCUGGGUCAAGAUUGACGCUCAUGCACGAAAGCGUGGGGAGCAAACAGGAUUAGAUACCCUGGUAGUCCA
rnacentral:rRNA from 1 species